rnacentral:lncRNA from 1 species
UGGAACGGACUGGUCCUGAGUCCGAGAUGGACUAACAGGGCUAGGACUCGCCAGAUAUGAACUUGAAAAGGUCAUAGAACUUGAAUCGGAAAGAUUCCAAGUCAAGGUCUUCAAGAUCGGACUCUGAAACCUCGAGCAAAAGGAGCAUAGAGGUAUGUGGGGGUAGGUACAUGCUACUCAAGGUCUGAGAAGCCAUAGUUUCCGGUGAAAUAAGGUCGGUAACCAGUGAAAGGGGUCAGGGAUUGGAGGGUAGUUGAGAGAAUUUUGAGAGACGAAGGGGAUACAAGGGCG